UUAAUUGAUUUUUGCUUUUACGCUCAGACGGCCACAAUUUUAAUAGUUAAAGAUGUCCUCCGGCGGGCGCAGGCCCGGGAGAAGCGAACGGCCCCGGUAAAAGGGUCGCGGCCUCCCUCCGGCCGGCCGACUAGCGGCGCGGCCCGCCGAGGCAACUGGGUCGGUAGACACGAAUGGCCGUUUGCCGUCUUUCGACGGCGGGCACGUUAAUGAUCCUUCCGCAGGUUCACCUACGGAAA
rnacentral:misc_RNA from 1 species